GAUGAACGCUGGCGGCGUGCCUAAUACAUGCAAGUCGAGCGAACAGACGAGGAGCUUGCUCCUCUGACGUUAGCGGCGGACGGGUGAGUAACACGUGGAUAACCUACCUAUAAGACUGGGAUAACUUCGGGAAACCGGAGCUAAUACCGGAUAAUAUAUUGAACCGCAUGGUUCAAUAGUGAAAGACGGUUUUGCUGGCACUUAUAGAUGGAUCCGCGCCGCAUUAGCUAGUUGGUAAGGUAACGGCUUACCAAGGCAACGAUGCGUAGCCGACCUGAGAGGGUGAUCGGCCACACUGGAACUGAGACACGGUCCAGACUCCUACGGGAGGCAGCAGUAGGGAAUCUUCCGCAAUGGGCGAAAGCCUGACGGAGCAACGCCACGUGAGUGAUGAAGGUCUUCGGAUCGUAAAACUCUGUUAUUAGGGAAGAACAAAUGUGUAAGUAACUAUGCACGUCUUGACGGUACCUAAUCAGAAAGCCACGGCUAACUACGUG
rnacentral:rRNA from 1 species